rnacentral:rRNA from 1 species
UCAAAGGAGACUGCCAGUGAUAAACUGGAGGAAGGUGGGGAUGACGUCAAGUCAUCAUGGCCCUUACGACCAGGGCUACACACGUGCUACAAUGGCGCAUACAAAGAGAAGCGACCUCGCGAGAGCAAGCGGACCUCAUAAAGUGCGUCGUAGUCCGGAUUGGAGUCUGCAACUCGACUCCAUGAAGUCGGAAUCGCUAGUAAUCGUGGAUCAGAAUGCCACGGUGAAUACGUUCCCGGGCCUU